UACGUAGGGCGCAAGCGUUAUCCGGAAUUAUUGGGCGUAAAGAGCUCGUAGGCGGUUUGUCGCGUCUGCCGUGAAAGUCCGGGGCUCAACUCCGGAUCUGCGGUGGGUACGGGCAGACUAGAGUGAUGUAGGGGAGACUGGAAUUCCUGGCGUAGCGGUGAAAUGCGCAGAUAUCAGGAGGAACACCGAUGGCGAAGGCAGGUCUCUGGGCAUUAACUGACGCUGAGGAGCGAAAGCAUGGGGAGCGAACAGG
rnacentral:rRNA from 1 species